rnacentral:tRNA from 1 species
GAGCCCGUAGCUCAGUCGGUAGAGCACCAGACUCUUAAUCUGGGUGUCUAGGGUUCGAUUCCCUACGGGCUCGC